CUCUCCUCCUUACCCCAUAAAGCCUUGAGCUAGCAAAAGUAGUAACCUGACAAAUUUGAAAAACAAAGUUGCACAGCAAAUGAAAGAGUGAAAACUGUAAAAGGUCUCUCUUGCCCCCAUCUUGCAAUGCACCCAACACACCUUCAAACCCCCAGGUCAAGCUCUCGUCUGGCGUCUCUAUACCCCCUCAAACUAAAACAUCUACAGUCAGGUCAAGCUCUCGUCUGGCGUCUCUAUACCCCUUCAAACUAAAACAUCUACAGUCAGGUCAAGCUCUCGUCUGGCGUCUCUAUACCCCCUCGAACCAAAACAUCUACAGGUCAAGCUCUCGUCUGGCGUCUCUAUACCCCCUCGAACCAAAACAUCUAGUCAGGUCAAGCUCUCGUCUGGCAUCUCUAUACCCCCUCGAACCAAAACAUCUAGUCAGGUCAAGCUCUCGUCUGGCGUCUCUAUACCCCCUCGAACCAAAACAUCUACAGUCAGGUCAAGCUCUCA